UACGAAGGGGGCUAGCGUUGCUUGGAAUCACUGGGCGUAAAGCGCACGUAGGCGGCUUCUUAAGUCAGGGGUGAAAUCCUGGAGCUCAACUCCAGAACUGCCUUUGAUACUGAGGAGCUUGAGUCCGGGAGAGGUGAGUGGAACUGCGAGUGUAGAGGUGAAAUGCGUAGAUAUCGGGAGGAACAUCAGUGGCGAAGGCGACUGCCUGGCCCAACACUGACGCUGAGGUGCGAAAGCGUGGGUAGCAAACAGG
rnacentral:rRNA from 1 species